CUAAUACUCCCUCCGUUCUAAAUUACUCGUCGCAGAAAUUAAUGUAUCUAAAAUUAAAAUACAUCUAGAUACAUCCAUUUCUGCGAUGAGUAAUUCGGAACGGAGAAAGUAGAUA
rfam:Triticum aestivum genome assembly, contig: Triticum_aestivum_CS42_TGACv1_scaffold_112995_2AS